AAAAGAAGCUGCAGGGAAGACAAAACGGAAGAAGGAGCUUUUUGUUGGAUGACAAUUCACAGUUUAUGAAGUCCGGAAACAAGCCCCUGGCUAUCUGGACCACCCUCUCACCAACCACCAUGCCAUGCAGUCCCGUGCAAAGGAUCUCGAGCAUGUGGAACAGAUUUCUCUCCAAAACACAGGCAAGCUUUGGAGCAAAGGCAGAGAUACCAAACCAAGAGCGCAUUUCAUCUUCAGUAGUCUCCACCAAGGCUUCUACACCCUCCUGUUUCC
rnacentral:lncRNA from 1 species